rnacentral:rRNA from 1 species
UACGUAGGGUCCAAGCGUUGUCCGGAUUUAUUGGGCGUAAAGAGCUCGUAGGCGGUUCGGCAAGUCGAAUGUGAAAUCUCCACGCUCAACGUGGAGGGGUCAUUCGAUACUGCCGUGACUCGAGUCCGGUAGGGGAGUGUGGAAUUCCCGGUGUAGCGGUGAAAUGCGCAGAGAUCGGGAGGAACACCCGUAGCGAAGGCGGCACUCUGGGCCGGUACUGACGCUGAGGAGCGAAAGCGUGGGGAGCAACAGG